UGUGUAUUUCACACGUCGCUCCUCCGGAGGAUCUGUUGAGACAUCAAAAAUGUUAGAAAUAUUACAGCAUUGUGGAGGAUCCAGCCCUGCAUUAGCACCACUGACACGCAGAGCAGCACAGGAACAGGCGGUCAGCACAAGAUCGAUUGUGGCCGGGGUCCACCACACCAUGCAGGCUGUGCAGAGAUACCCCUGAGACAAUCCGGCACAUACCAGCAGGUUGUGAUGCAGCACGAGCUGGAGGUAGUAGAGACCAGACCGACACACUGGUGAUAGCUAACCAACUGGCAGUGGUGAUACUGUAGAUGCAGCAAUCCCAAGGGACAGCAGCAUCCGGAAGAAGGAACACAAGAAGCUUGAGAAAAAUACCAAGG